rnacentral:rRNA from 1 species
ACCUGGGCUAAUACCGGAUAAUCCUUCGAAUCACAUGUUUUGAAGUUGAAAGGCGCUUCGGCGUCACUGUAGGAUGGGCCCGCGGUGCAUUAGCUAGUUGGUGGGGUAACGGCCUACCAAGGCAACGAUGCAUAGCCGACCUGAGAGGGUGAUCGGCCACAUUGGGACUGAGACACGGCCCAAACUCCUACGGGAGGCAGCAGUAGGGAAUCUUCCACAAUGGACGAAAGUCUGAUGGAGCAACGCCGCGUGAGUGAUGAAGGUUUUCGGAUCGUAAAACUCUGUUGUAAGGGAAGAACAAGUACGUUAGGAAAUGAACGUAUCUUGACGGUACCUUAUUAGAAAGCCACGGCUAACUACGUGCCAGCAGCCGCGGUAAUACGUAGGUGGCAAGCGUUGUCCGGAUUUAUUGGGCGUAAAGCGCGCGCAGGUGGUUUCUUAAGUCUGAUGUGAAAGCCCACGGCUCAACCGUGGAGGGUCAUUGGAAACUGGGGAACUUGAGUGCAGAAGAGGAUAGUGGAAUUCCAAGUGUAGCGGUGAAAUGCGUAGAGAUUUGGAGGAACACCAGUGGCGAAGGCGACUGUCUGGUCUGUAACUGACACUGAGGCGCGAAAGCGUGGGGAGCAAACAGGAUUAGAUACCCUGGUAGUCCACGCCGUAAACGAUGAGUGCUAAGUGUUAGGGGGUUUCCGCCCCUUAGUGCUGCAGCUAACGCAUUAAGCACUCCGCCUGGGGAGUACGACCGCAAGGUUGAAACUCAAAGGAAUUGACGGGGGCCCGCACAAGCGGUGGAGCAUGUGGUUUAAUUCGAAGCAACGCGAAGAACCUUACCAGGUCUUGACAUCCCAAUGACCGUCCUAGAGAUAGGAUUUUCCCUUCGGAGACAUUGGUGACAGGUGGUGCAUGGUUGUCGUCAGCUCGUGUCGUGAGAUGUUGGGUUAAGUCCCGCAACGAGCGCAACCCUUAUUCUUAGUUGCCAUCAUUUAGUUGGGCACUCUAAGGAGACUGCCGGUGACAAACCGGAGGAAGGUGGGGAUGACGUCAAAUCAUCAUGCCCCUUAUGACCUGGGCUACACACGUGCUACAAUGGACGAUACAAAGAGUCGCAAACUCGCGAGGGUAAGCUAAUCUCAUAAAAUCGUUCUCAGUUCGGAUUGUAGGCUGCAACUCGCCUGCAUGAAGCCGGAAUCGCUAGUAAUCGCGGAUCAGCA